rnacentral:rRNA from 1 species
AACGAACGCUGGCGGCAUGCCUAACACAUGCAAGUCGAACGAGACCUUCGGGUCUAGUGGCGCACGGGUGCGUAACGCGUGGGAACCUGCCCUUAGGUUCGGAAUAACUCCCCGAAAGGGGUGCUAAUACCGGAUAAUGUCUCCGGACCAAAGAUUUAUCGCCUUUGGAUGGGCCCGCGUUGGAUUAGCUAGUUGGUAGGGUAAAAGCCUACCAAGGCGACGAUCCAUAGCUGGUCUGAGAGGAUGAUCAGCCACACUGGGACUGAGACACGGCCCAGACUCCUACGGGAGGCAGCAGUGGGGAAUAUUGGACAAUGGGCGAAAGCCUGAUCCAGCAAUGCCGCGUGAGUGAUGAAGGCCUUAGGGUUGUAAAGCUCUUUUACCCGGGAUGAUAAUGACAGUACCGGGAGAAUAAGCUCCGGCUAACUCCGUG